CAGUAGCCGCGGUAAUACGAGGGGUGCAAGCGUUAUUCGGAUUGAUUGGGUGUAAAGGGUGUGCAGACGGCUUAUUAAGUCACUUGUUAAAUUCUUCGGCCUAACUGAAGGUCUGCAAGUGAUACUGAUGAGCUAGAGGGUGGAAGAGAGAAGUGGAAUUCUCGGAGUAGCGGUAAAAUGCGUAGGUCUCGAGAGGAACACCAAUGGCGAAGGCAGCUUCUUGGUCCAUUCCUGACGUUCAUACACGAAAGCGUGGGGAGCAAACAGGAUUAGAUACCCCCGUAGUCCCUGUCUCUUAUAC
rnacentral:rRNA from 1 species